rnacentral:rRNA from 1 species
UACGAAGGGGGCUAGCGUUGUUCGGAAUCACUGGGCGUAAAGCGCACGUAGGCGGAUCUUUAAGUCAGAGGUGAAAUCCCAAGGCUCAACCCUGGAACUGCCUUUGAUACUGUCGAUCUGGAGUAUGGAAGAGGUGAGUGGAAUUCCGAGUGUAGAGGUGAAAUUCGUAGAUAUUCGGAGGAACACCAGUGGCGAAGGCGGCUCACUGGUCCAUUACUGACGCUGAUGUGCGAAAGCGUGGGGAGCAAACAGG